CCUCGUAAAAAAACACGUUUAGGUAUGAGCUUCUCAUACGUUUAUACUGAAAAGAACACGUUAGUUUUUCAUCUUUCUCUGUCUCUAAGUUUUCAACUUCUACAUUUCCAUUCGGCUUCUGUUCAAAGAUAAAUUAUGCACAUACAUGAAUUUUAAAGGAAACUUUUUGUCACUGUUUUGUAAGUAAAUUUUCGUUCUAAUACUUUCUAGGGAACAAAUCGCCUGCUCUUUUGAUUUGUUACUCUCCAACCAUAAAGUAUAACUUUUUUAAAUAGUCGUCGUGAUUUUUACGCUGAACAAGACAAAGAGCAAUGAUAAUUUCACUUAAAUUUGAGUUUACUCGGAACUACAGAGCUAAGUUUAUACGAAAGAUGAUGUAAUAUGUAUAACAUACAUAAAUAAUUUAAUAUUUUCAUAAAAUUCAUAAAAUACUUUCGAUUGUUUGCUCCUUUGGUUUAAGAUUCGAAGUUCUUAUUUCCUUCUUUGUUAUUUUCUUUUUUCUAUCUAUGAUGUAUUUCGCGCAUAAAUUAUUUAGGUAAACAACACCUGAAUACAAUUUUAUAUGCAUUUUAAAUUGAAACGAUGGAGAGACGUUUCCUCUCUUCCUUAUUAGAUUUUCAAUUUUCUUAUGUAAGUGUCUCUCCCUGUCUGUCUCUUUUCCUCUUCAAAAGAGUGCAGGUAAAUAAGGUGACAACAGUUACCUCACUAUGAAAAUUCUUGAACAACGACGCGCUUGAUGCGAUUAUAAUGCGGCAAUCGUUGUUCCUUGAGUAUACAAAUACAUACAGAUAUGUGACUGGAAAUAUUAUUCGAUUUCUAAUAUCAGUGGCCAUGAUGUUGCUAAUUCGAGCAGACUCGAGUAGCUGUGCAUGAAUAUUUAUUAAAAAAGAGAACGGUGUAUUUUCCUGUUUUAUAUCUGACAAUGAGUUAUAUCGUUGAUAGAAUAUAAAUAUGUAUUUUAAAAAAUAUGUUCCUCGCAAAGAUUAAUAUUCGGUUGGUAAAUGCUUGAGGGCGUAAAUGAAAUUUCUUACAAAGGAAAACAAUCUAAUUGCAAUCACGUUAUCGUAUCAUCUAGUUUUCUGUUAUAUUCUUAUUUUUAUUAUAUCUUAUUUUUCUGCUAUAUUUUAUGAAAUUGUCAUAAUUCGACCCAUCAUCUUCAAUUUAAACGGAAAAAAUGGUUUCCCAAAGCAUUAUAAGUAAAUACGUGAAGCAUAAAAUGAUAAUUUCUUGCGAUUGAACACGUUCAUCGUGUAUUUGUUCGCUCAGCUGAAUUCUUGAUACAAAAAGGCGAGAGGGAAAGCAAUUUCCUUUCGACUGUGUCACGCGAUGCAAAAGAGGGAGGAUUCUUCUUCCGAAAUUAUACUCUUUGUAGUCGUCUUUUCUCGAGCAAUCUUUUAUCGUCGAAAGCUGGAACAUUUCCAGCAAUAUACGUUCAUCCUAGAGAGCCUAUUGGAAACAUUAAUAUUUAAUCAACGGUAUUAACUCCUUCUGUGAAAAGAGCCGAGCUAUUUCUAGCAAUAAACGUUCGUUGUGAAGGUUCAUUCAGCGGUAUUAAUAUUUAAGUCACAGUAUAUCGAAAGAAACUCUUUUGUUCUAUAAAUAUUUAUCUCAUAAAAGAUUAUUGUCUUUUUAUACGUAUAUAGGAUAAAACUCUUUGAUUGAAUUUCCAUUAUAUUAUUAUCUGAAUGUUUUAAUUUUAAUCAAGUUAUACAGAAAUGAAAUGGAUGAAGAUGAAUUGAAGAUUUUUUGAUUUUUCACCACCUUAUCCUACCAUAAAAUGAUUAAUUAAUGGCACCAUAUAUAAUAAUUUUAAUAAUAGCAAUGAAAAAGAAAUGAAUUUUAAAAACUGUAUUAAGCAGAAUAAAAAUAAAGUUUUAUUGUUAUCUAUCGAAUUAUGAGUACUUAUUUGUCAAUUAUCAUCUAAGCUCUGAUCUAUGAAAUAAAGAUAGGAAAAAUAUGGGGUAAGUGUCAUUUUUUAAUACUACUUCGUAUUAUUAUCGGGAUAUUGGGUCAAAUCAAUAUAGGUAAUCCCAGUUUUCCGGUACAACGCGUUUGCAGAGUUAAUGGUCUCUCCGAAUUCUAUCUACAGCGGCUUAAGAGUUUCGCACUUUCUCGUUCUUUAAAAAUCCUCUAAUUGGUUCUUAAGCAUUUGCGUGUAAAAGCAAGCAAUCAGCAUAUUAUCUACAUACUUUAAUAAUUUUACUAUUUAAUUCAAUUCAUUCGGGAUUCAUCUCGCGUGGAAAUUAAAUUUAAACUAGUAAAUUAAAUAAAUUUCUAAAACUUUUCUUGAAGAUGUAGUCUUUCGAAUAUUAUGUUUGUUACAUAUAUGAAACUCAACUUUCACGUUUAAUUAUAUCUACCUAUUGAAUUUCGUAUAUUAUUCGAUCGUAUUAUCGAAUAUCGCGGUUGAAUACUUUUAGCGUUUUAACUCUUCUACGAUAAAAUUUCAUCAUUUUAAAAACUAAGAUUAUAUUAUGCGUAUUUUAAAAGAGUCAGCGGUGGAUUUGUCUCGAGUUUCGACAGUUUGGCUUUAAGUUGACCCGGGAACGGCAGGGACGAAACGCAAGAGCGAUGCACGAAGCCACAGAAAGCGGGGUUCCCGGUGAGAAAUCGAUCGGACGGUCUUUGCCUUGAGGGUGUUGGCCGAGUGCGGCGUUUAUGGCUACGUGGAUGCACCGUCACCGUCACCGUCACGGCGAACCUCCUGAACCGGUCAUCCGGUUGAAUCAUUCCGUCUGGUUAAAAGGAAAAGCGUGCAGCCACAUUGCCACGCCGAUGCUCGACGAAAGUAAAAAUGGUCUCGACACGACGAUGGGCUUUUGUCUACUAGAAGCGAUGUCUCAAGAAUUUUUAUCGGAGCUACAAAAUAGCUGUUUGAUAGCUGUUUUUUAACGUUGACUGUCGUGUUGAGUUUUACUCAGUUUUUUCGAACCAUUGAAAUAAUAUAAAUUAUUCGGACCAACAAACUUUUAAUAACGCGAACAAAUUGGAUGAAGCGCGAGUUGGAAAACAGUGCGCAAACGCGAUAUAAUAUUUUGUAAAAAUUGGAUGUUGCUACAUAGUACAUUUCGAUCUGUUGCGGCUAAUAAUAAAAUUAGCGUGAAGGUUAAAUUAAGUGAGAUGUCAAAGUAAAUUUAUAAAUAACGAUAAACAAAAGAAAGUUUUAAAAUUCAUAUUUGUGUACAAUAACUACACUACGUUAAUAGUAACUUUGUACUAAAUUCUUUUUACCAUAUUGAUAACAGUUACUUAUUAUACAGUCCUGGAGAUAUGUAUUACAUCUGUUCAUAGUUGAAUUGUUUUUGUCAAAUGUAAUUCCGUUUUCUAAAAUUCUGAUGUUCUUUAUACCUUAUCCUUUAAACUUUCUUUUGCCCUCCACUGUAAUAAUUUGUGCAAAAAAUAUGCCCGUAAAUUGACCAAGUUUAAUAAUUAUUUUAUUAGAUUUCGCGGCUGUUUCCAUUAUUCUUGAUUUUUGUUAUAAUUGAAAAACAUUAUUAUUGAAUUUUUGUUGAAUAUUAGAAACUUUUUGACGCGUUACUUUUAUCACCACUCUGACAUAAAUUGUUCAUUAAUUUUCUAUCUAAAACGAUUAAUUGAUGGCUGAGAUAAAUAAUCGUAGCUUAAUGUAACAUCCUCAAUACCAUUUUCUGCGCAAACAAUUCAGGAAUUGGAGGCAGACCAAGGAUCGAAAUUGGAUGGAGUUGAGUAAAUAUUCGAGUAUGUCUCUACGUAUGAAUUAUGCACAUGAAAAGCAUAUUGAGCUCUCCAACGUAACAUAACGAAAGAAGAAAUGGGACUGUUCAAUUUACAUACUGUUUAAUGCGGAAUAAGUAUUAAUCUGGUAAUAAAGCAGGGGCAGUACAGAGGUCUUUGACCAUUUAAAGCAAUUCGUAGAAGCCUCAACGACAUACAUAGUUACUUUUUCGUUUAAAGAAAAAUUUAGAUGAAUAUAUUGUACAUAAUAACAUGCAGAAAUUCUUUAUUUUUUACGAAUGGUUAAAAUGUACAUGUCGAAUAUUAUUUUACUUAAAUAAAACUGAAAUAAAAUUUAUUUAAACGUUUGUUCGAUUGUAUGUCGCAUAAAAUUAAAGAUAUCGAAUUUAGAAAUAUAUUACUUUUUUGCAAGAUCCAAUUUCCGCUUUAAGAUUGAGCUGAAUUACUCUUGUAGGUGUAAUAAAAGUUACAGAAACUCCAGUGGAAAAGAUGAAACAACUUGCACGAUUAAUCCGCGCUAAUGGAAGGACGAACGUUUCAGACACUUCGAUCAGUUUCAAACCAAGAACGAUAAGUUAUUGGUUCUGUACGGGAUAUCGACAAUAAGUGCCCUCAACAAUGGAACUGCUUUUAACAGGGUUAUAACAACUUACCGCGAAUUGGACGCAGUAUAAUGCGACAGCAAAGUAACUUAAUUACACAAAAUUUCCACGAAAUAUCAUAUUAAUUCUUGGAACUAUUAAAAUUUCGAUCUUUUCGUAGUCUUGAAAUUUUAAUCGUCUUCGAACGAAAGAGAAAAACAGGGACAAAUCAAUCAUUCGCUAUUCACAACUAAUAACUACAGCUUUUAAUUGUUUUAGUACACAACGUAAUAUUUCUACGUAGGUUUGAUUCUAGUUCGUCAAAACUUUAUCUGAUUUAUACGAAUGAUUCGGAAGUCAACGUAUAUCUGAUUUUUAUUAAAAGAACGAGAAGAAAAGAGAAUAGCAAUUUGUUACUCAUUAUCGAAAAUCUAGAAGAAAAUUUAAUUUAUCGCAGGGUUCUCGAACGAAGUCGGUGUAUAUUAUAUGCUUGAUUCAGUAAUAGAAAACUAAUCGAGUGCAUCCAUUUAAGCCAGAUGCACGGAGCAAUGUGUCAUGGUGGAGUGCAACGACCGAGCACUGUAUCAUCGACAAAUCGAGUGGAUCCACGUCGAUUAGAAAUUCGCGAGAAAUCGCGCAGACAGGACCAACCUCUGAAACGUUUGCAAUUUCCUUUCUGCAGUGUUCGCGUUGCCUGUUCAAGAGUAAGGUCACAGGAGGAAGUUCAGCGAUUCGAAAUUAAUGAAAUAUCUGCGAGAAUUAUAGAGUUUGCCGAGGGUUACGAUUCUCUUUCUACAAAUGUUUGCGCUGUAUCUUCUUUCCAGAAACUUCGUUCUGCUGGCACGCAGAAUUGAAGGGAUGUGUGUCUUUCGAGUCUAAUGUUAGAGUUUCGUUUUCGUAUAAUGCGAAGUAUAAACGUUCGAAACGAAAGCUUCUGCACAAAGAGCAUAACUUUAAAUUAAAAUAUCGAAUCCUAGAUUUAAUGGAAACUUUUGUUACACAUUUGCGUCGUUCGAUUGUUUCACUUUAACGCGACUAUUCUUAACUUUGAGUGUUAUAGACAGAUCAUCGAUACCAUAUAAAUUUUUAUUUCUUAUUUUCGUCGUUUAAUUUCCUUCCGUUUUAAUACCGUAUAAAAUGAUUUCAAUAUGAUUAUAGUACGAUAAUAACGUGGUAACUGUUGCUUCAUAUUUUGAUUACUUAAUUCGAUUUUAGUACAUACUGAUAAACUAGCGCAUAAUAAACUGAAAGCAAUAACAUUCUGUACGUAUCAAAGCUAUUAAAACAAGAAAAAUUCAUCCGCAAAUAAAAUCGUUUGCAUAGAAAUUGAGAGUUUAAAUUAAAAUCGAUAGGGAAAUCAUUUUAGGGGACGUGGAUAGAUUUACAACACGAGUAAAACGAUUCUGGCGUGUUACUUAAUUAAUUCAUUUUAUUGCGAAUUUAUUAGCGAAUUUAUUAGCGAAGUAGGAGAUUACGACAAGUACAAUAGUUUUGUUGUAUUUGCGGUGGUUAGAAUUUUUCAAUCUCUCUCUUGAAUAAUAGUUUAAUAAUUUACCUACGCAAAUCCAACAAUACUUUAGAACGAAACUAGAUUAUAAAUUUAACAUAACGUAAUUUGUUGAUCUCUGAAGAUUUGGUUUUUAAAUAAAAUUUAUAAUUGUUAAAAAA